GGGGGAAAAAAGGGGAUUUUGGGGUGAAAAAAGGCGAUUUUGGGCAAAAUGGGGGAAAAAUGGUGAAAAAUGGGAUUUUUGGGGGGUUUUUUGGGGGAUUUGAGGCCAAUAGGGUGGAAAUGAGGAUUUUGGGGUGAUUUUAAGUGAAAUUAAUCAAUUUUGGGUGAAAUUAAUAGAGAUUAUUAGUGAUUAAUAGUUGAUUAAUAGAGGUGGAGGAUUUUGGGGUAAAAGGGUGGAAAAAUGGGAUUUUGGGGGGAUUUUUUGGGGGGGAAAGAGAGGAUUUGAGGCCAAUAGGGUGGAAAUGAGGAUUUUGGGGUGAUUUUAAGUGAAAUUGAUCAAUUUUGGGGUGAAAUUAAUAGAGAUUAUUAGUGAUUAAUAGUUGAUUAAUUGAGGUGGAGGAUUUUUGGGGUAAAAGGGUGGAAAAAUGGGAUUUUGGGGGGAUUUUUUGGGGGGGAAAAGGGGGGAUUUGAGGCCAGUAGGGUGGAAAUGAGGAUUUUUGGGGGGUUUUGAGGGAAAUCGAUCAAUUUUGGGGUGAAAUUAAUAGAGAUUAUUAGUGAUUAAUAGUUGAUUAAUAAAGGUGGUGGAUUUGGGGGUAAAAGGGUGGAAAAAUGGGAUUUUUGGGGGAUUUUUUGGGGGGGGGAAAGGGGGGAUUUGAGGCCAAUAGGGUGGAAAUGAGGAUUUUGGGGUGAUUUUAAGUGAAAUUAAUCAAUUUUGGGUGAAAUUAAUAGCGAUUAUUAGUGAUUAAUAAUUAAUAGAUAGGAAAUUUCGUGAGAAAUGGGCAAAAUUUGGCCGUUUUGACCCGAAUUUCUCUUCUUUUUGGGGAGGUUGAAUUUCGUGAUUAUUUGUGAAGUUUGGAUCGGAUUCAUCCGAAAUUACAAAUCAUUAAUGGAAAUUAUUAGAAGCUUUUAAUUAGAAUUAUUAGAAUCUUUCUAUUCAGCUUAUUAGAGGUUUUUUAAGUGCUUUUUUUUGGUAACUUUUAGCGAAUUUUGUGUGGAUUUUAUGAUUUUUUGGUGAAUUUUAAUGGAAGUUAUUAGGAGAUAUUAGGAGUUAUUAGAAGUUAUUAGGAGUUAUUAGAAGUUAUUAGAAGUUAUUAGGAGUUAUUAGGAGUUAUUAGGAGGUGUAAAAAAUGAUUAGAAAUAAGAAAAAUAAUUGGAAUAUUUUGUGAAUAAUUAGAAAUAAUUGGAAACGCUUAAAAAAAAAAGAGAAAUAAUUAGAAAUAAUGGAAAUAAUUGGAA